rnacentral:rRNA from 1 species
AGAGUUUGAUCCUGGCUCAGAUUGAACGCUGGCGGCAGGCCUAACACAUGCAAGUCGAACGGUAGCACAGAGAGCUUGCUCUUGGGUGACGAGUGGCGGACGGGUGAGUAAUGUCUGGGAAACUGCCCGAUGGAGGGGGAUAACUACUGGAAACGGUAGCUAAUACCGCAUAACGUCGCAAGACCAAAGAGGGGGACCUUCGGGCCUCUUGCCAUCGGAUGUGCCCAGAUGGGAUUAGUUAGUUGGUGAGGUAACGGCUCACCAAGACCAUGAUGCAUAGCCGACCUGAGAGGGUGAUCGGCCACACUGGGACUGAGACACGGCCCAGACUCCUACGGGAGGCAGCAGUAGGGAAUAUUGCACAAUGGGCGCAAGCCUGAUGCAGCCAUGCCGCGUGUAUGAAGAAGGCCUUCGGGUUGUAAAGUACUUUCAGCGAGGAGGAAGGCAUUAAGGUUAAUAACCUUAGUGAUUGACGUUACUCGCAGAGGAAGCACCGGCUAACUCCGUGCCAGCCGCCGCGGUAAUAC